GCGGGAAUAGCUCAGUGGUAGAGCAUAACCUUGCCAAGGUUGGGUCGAGAGUUCGAAUCUCUUUUCCCGCU
rnacentral:tRNA from 1 species